AAACCAUGAUCCAAACAUAGUGUUAAAGAUUUUCUCAGUUUAUUGUUGGUGAUAAUUGCCUGAUUUACUGUAUGGUCUGCUCUGUUCUUAAGUCUAUAAUUUCUUUUGCACAUUAGAGAAUAGUUCAUGAGGAAGGAAGCUCUAAGAGUUGAUGCAUUCAUACAUAGUGUUGUAAAUGCCAAGCGGAGUUGAGCAGCUCAGCUUAGUGGACUGGUGUAGGUGUUUUAGUCAGGCUUAGCUUUUGAAGAGUGAAUUUAUCAAGUGUUUGAAAUUGUAUCAGCCAGCUUGCUUUCUCACUCAAAUCUCAAACUCAACUUUGUUUCCCAUUUUUGUAUUUGAAUAUUCAAAUUUGAGUUGCCAAUCAUUUAACUGUUUCACUAGUUUAUGAGGGUCAACAGAAUCUUUUACAUUGGAAGGAAGUGAAUUAUCUUGAAGAUUAGAGUUUUGAUUUAAUCUUGCUUCAUAGACAUAGAGAAAUACUAUUCACAGUCCAAAAAAGUUUAUAUAUGUGUUGGUUCAAACUUGAAAUUGAUUGUCACCUAAGUCCUCCUCCUGAGGCUUGGGCAGGAUAAGAUAGCAGCUAAAAGUAUGGGUAGCAUAGCAAAAAUAUGCUCUUUAUCAUUGAUAUGUUGGUUUGCUCACAAUAACUGUUGCCUCUUGGGAAAAGCGAACACUGGUUCUAUGAUGCACUUGCUAAUUUUAGUACUUCUAAAAACUAUAAAUUUACCAGUUGUAAAUAGACCCUAGGAUAUGGAAUGGAGGAUGGUACCAAACCUACCAAUGCUUAUAGUGAUUCUCAAGUUAAGGGGAAAAAAAAAGCCUGAACUUCUGCUCAAGCUUGGCUGGCUCACUAAAGGCACCAGUAGUAUUUAUAGUGAUUCUCAAGCU
rnacentral:misc_RNA from 1 species